AGAGUUUGAUCAUGGCUCAGAGCGAACGCUGGCGGCAGGCUUAACACAUGCAAGUCGAACGGACGCAGCAAUGCGUCAGUGGCAGACGGGUGAGUAACACGUGGGAACGUGCCCUUCGGUUCGGAACAACCCAGGGAAACUUGGGCUAAUACCGGAUACGUCCGCAAGGAGAAAGAUUUAUCGCCGAAGGAUCGGCCCGCGUCUGAUUAGCUUGUUGGUGAGGUAACGGCUCACCAAGGCGACGAUCAGUAGCUGGUCUGAGAGGAUGAUCAGCCACACUGGGACUGAGACACGGCCCAGACUCCUACGGGAGGCAGCAGUGGGGAAUAUUGGACAAUGGGCGCAAGCCUGAUUCAGCCAUGCCGCGUGGGUGAUGAAGGCCUUAGGGUUGUAAAGCCCUUUCGGCGGGGAAGAUAAUGACGGUACCCGCAGAAGAAGCCCCGGCUAACUUCGUGCCAGCAGCCGCGGUAAUACGAGGGGGGUUAGCGUUGCUCGGAAUCACUGGGCGUAAAGCGCACGUAGGCGGAUUGCUAAGUCAGGGGUGAAAUCCUGGAGCUCAACUCCAGAACUGCCCUUGAUACUGGCGACCUUGAGUCCGGGAGAGGUGAGUGGAACUGCGAGUGUAGAGGUGAAAUUCGUAGAUAUUCGCAAGAACACCAGUGGCGAAGGCGGCUCACUGGCCCGGUACUGACGCUGAGGUGCGAAAGCGUGGGGAGCAAACAGGAUUAGAUACCCUAGUAGUCC
rnacentral:rRNA from 1 species